AGUACAACUAUAGUCUAACGAUUGCAAUAUGUACAUAUGUAUACUAACGGUUCAGACAAUAAUACAACCGAUCAACGGAAAUACUAUAACAAAUUUUCAUUUAUUUUGUCUCUCUACGAUCUAUACAAUAAAUUUUAUUUUCUGCAAUAAUAUAUGUGCAUUGCAUACAUGUUUUCUGUGUAUAUUAUAAUAUUUCUUGCAUUCAUUAUCAUUUCUGAUAGAAGUAUAUAGCAUUUUAUACUUCUUUCUAUGACAUUUAUAAUGUCAUGUAAAAAAAGAAAGCUUGUUUCGUUGUUUUAAGAUAUAUAUAAGUAAGUACUAGUUCUUUUGUAAAUAUUUGAUGAAACUAAAGAAAUCUAGAAAUAAUAAAAGAUUAAAUCAGGCACGAAAUUGUAAAACAUGCUCUGACAUGUUCGAUUGCUCACGAAUCAAAGAACGAGUCGUAAAUCGCGGUCGAAUAAUGUGAGCAGCAACAAGUAGCAAUGUGACCGUUUGCCUGCAACAUAGGGGCGUCCCUCGCGUCCGCACCUUUCCCUGACUAAUCAACAAAUUGAAUGAAACCGAGGUAGACUGAUAGAGUAGCGACCACCGUUGCCGUGAAUUAUGUGAACAGCAUGGUAAUAACGGAGCAGCUGAUAAUUAUGGAUUAACGCGUCAAAUAUAUGGAAACACAGUGAGAAACAAUGAGAGACUGCUAUAUCCAGAAGAAAUUCCACAGCGACGCGUAUUUCAACCAUUGGAUCUGCAAUUUGACGAUCAAGAGUUGAAAUUGGUAUCAGAAUUAAUAUUAAUACGUCGACCCUGCAUCAAUGUAAAGGAGAUGAAGUUAUUGCACUGGCUCGUGUAUUCCUAUUAAUAAGCUCACGGAAUACAUAUGUCUUAGUUAUUGCUCAACGAGUGGGAAUCUGACUCGACAAAUAAUUUGCAGGGGUCCGUGACCUUGUUGAAUUUGACACGUGUAAGCUCUGUGUUUGAACAAUUACACUGAUCGAUAGCAUUUUUACCGUUCAAUGUGUAAAAGUUACAACACGAUCUACGUUUCCUGGAACGUUUACUGUUCUCGGAUAAAAAAACAAUUCUUCAAGCAAUAAUAUCUUGAAUCGACCAAAUACCAAAAUUUGGGCUUACAGAGAUCACCAUGUAAUGAUGGAAAGAUUCAAUCGAAGACGUUCCACCUUCAACGUGUCAACUGGAAUCAUUGGGAACAAUAUUAUAUUAUAUAUAAAUAAUAUAAUAUAUAAUAUAAUAAAAUAUAUAUAUACAGGUCAUGUCAUAAAGCAAAAAUAUAGCGUUCUAUUGAAAAAAAACGCAAGACGAACUUGGCACAACUUUGAUAAAGGGACGGAUGGAUUACUACAGACAGAUUAUAUUAACAAUAAAAUAGGAAACAUAUAAGUAUGGCAAAUUAACAGAUAUAUAUAAGGUGGUAACAAAAGUAAGACAAACAUGCAGAAAGAUAUUUUUUUCAUUGGAGGUUCCGUUUUCGAGAAAAAUUAGAUUGAUUCCUAUUUAUGUAAUAGUGUUAAAGUGGCGUGUCGAGCCAUGACAUACCAAUUCUAUUUCUUGUCAUGCCACGAGCCACACGAACUUGAAGUAUCUUCCAACUCGUUUUCUUGAAAACGCAAAUAUUCUUUUCUUAUGACUGUACCUGUACCAACAGUUCGUAACCGUUUCACCGAUAUUAAUUUGUUAAAUUCUUCAAAAUAGCACAAUUCCAUAUUUUUGGAAUCUUUUCUCUAUCGAAAGAUUUCGGCCGACGUUUAUCAGCAGAGUCGAGCAGGCUAUAUUUUAAAUAACGAAUACACACCAAAUAUUUAUCCGGCAAUUGAAACUUUUUUCCAGUUUCCAAUAGUCACUAUGCGACCAUUAUAGAGAGCUUCGCUUCUCAACGAAGAAUCCGGAAGCCGAAUCGCUCUGUUGCCCUCAAUUCUCAAAAAACACGAGCUUCUACGAAACCUCAGAGUUCUCGAGAAAAAUCAGCUAUUGCGUGAAAAGUAAAAACGACAGGAAGUUCUAAUCGGUCUUGGAAGAUAGAUGAGAGUUUCCCGAACAUAUCGGCGUACAACUUGUUAAUUGUUUCUGCUCCUGAAUGGUCAUAAACUAACGUCGAAGUUUAGAAAAGUGUCGACGCGCGUAGUUUCUCCGCGAUAUUUUCGUAUUUCUGACGAGAAGUUCUUCGUCCGGCGCGAAGACUUUACCCAGGAUCGGAUUCCGUUGACAUCUCCGAGGAAGAAACUGCCCGGUAAAAGUGUCGGAACGAUUUGCAUUUCAAAUAGACCGAGAGAAUAUUCGUCGAUUCGACAGGGCCGAGAAGCGUGGAAUGCAAAUGAACGCGCGUCAUCAUGCUUUAAAGUUUACGCAGUUGAAACCAGUCUUUUAUGUUUUGGUUCACGUCCGGGCAUCAACGAUGUCUGAGAAAUGAAGAUAUAACUUAAGAAAGAACAGUUUCGAUACAUUUAUUGUGAACUGUUUCUACAGCUCAAAAAUCUGUAUCUUGAAAAUCUGGAAGACUGCUUUCUCAGGACUAACAUAAGCAAAAUAUAAUGUUCGAGUAUUAACUAAGAACCAUAAAUAAGCAUGACUGAAGUUUAAUCCGCGGUCACGUUUACUGGAUAAAAAAGAAGAAACGGAGAGACAUCGUUCUAAGCGUCGGAAGAGAUUCGAUUUGAAUGGUCCUAAUGAACGGAUCUAUUAUUUUUACGAUGUAAAGAAAGGAGAACUCCGUUUGACUUGGAUCGCAUUAUGACGGAGGCUAAUUAUAUUUUGAUACGCGAUAAUGCUGCAACCCACAUGGCAAAAUCUGUGCAGCAUUUUCUUGUUCAAUAAACACUAAAGUUUCAACAGGAAACAGUAAGUUCGAGAUGCAAACGUUCUCGAAAAUAUUUGUGCCGACUUUCUGCCAGAACAGAUCUAUAAGAAAGAAAGCCAAAAGUGAAACAUAAAAAAUUCUAGAGAUUUGAAGGGAAAGUCUAAAGAAUAUUUUGAAGUCACGCACGCAAAAUUUGUCAAUUUCAGCUUGUGGAAAGAUGUGAACGAUUACGGUGCAAAGAAGAGUUGCGUGCAUCAUUGAACCUAUGCUUUACAUCGCGUGAUAUUGCUCGCAAAAUUGAAGCUAUUUAAAAACGUUCGACGCAUACUUCUGGCAUGUGAGGAUAUCGUACGAUUAAAACUGAAACGUAAACUGACAUCCAAAUACAUAUACAUUUCGCGAGAA